ACGAACGCUGGCGGCGUGCUUAACACAUGCAAGUCGAACGGAAAGGCCCUGCUUGCAGGGUCCUCGAGUGGCGAACGGGUGAGUAACACGUGGGUGAUCUGCCCUGCACUUCGGGAUAAGCUUGGGAAACUGGGUCUAAUACCGGAUAGGACCGCACUUUAGUGUGUGUGGUGGAAAGUUUUUUCGGUGUAGGAUGAGCUCGCGGCCUAUCAGCUUGUUGGUGGGGUAAUGGCCUACCAAGGCGGCGACGGGUAGCCGGCCUGAGAGGGUGUACGGCCACAUUGGGACUGAGAUACGGCCCAGACUCCUACGGGAGGCAGCAGUGGGGAAUAUUGCACAAUGGGCGCAAGCCUGAUGCAGCGACGCCGCGUGGGGGAUGAAGGCCUUCGGGUUGUAAACUCCUUUCGCUAGGGACGAAGCUUUUUGUGACGGUACCUAGAUAAGAAGCACCGGCUAACUACGUG
rnacentral:rRNA from 1 species